CAGCCGCCGCGGUAAUACAGAGGGUGCGAGCGUUAAUCGGAUUUACUGGGCGUAAAGCGUGCGUAGGCGGCUUCUUAAGUCGGAUGUGAAAUCCCUGAGCUUAACUUAGGAAUUGCAUUCGAUACUGGGAAGCUAGAGUAUGGGAGAGGAUGGUAGAAUUCCAGGUGUAGCGGUGAAAUGCGUGGAGAUCUGGAGGAAUACCGAUGGCGAAGGCAGCCAUCUGGCCUAAUACUGACGCUGAGGUACGAAAGCAUGGGGAGCAAACAGGAUUAGAUACCCCAGUAGUCCCUGUCUCUUAUAA
rnacentral:rRNA from 1 species